rnacentral:rRNA from 1 species
GACGAACGCUGGCGGCGUGCUUAACACAUGCAAGUCGAACGGAAAGGCCUCUUUCGUGGGGUACUCGAGUGGCGAACGGGUGAGUAACACGUGAGUAACCUGCCCUUGACUUUGGGAUAACUUCAGGAAACUGGGGCUAAUACCGGAUAGGAGCUCCUGCUGCAUGGUGGGGGUUGGAAAGUUUCGGCGGUUGGGGAUGGACUCGCGGCUUAUCAGCUUGUUGGUGGGGUAGUGGCUUACCAAGGCUUUGACGGGUAGCCGGCCUGAGAGGGUGACCGGCCACAUUGGGACUGAGAUACGGCCCAGACUCCUACGGGAGGCAGCAGUGGGGAAUAUUGCACAAUGGGUGGAAGCCUGAUGCAGCAACGCCGUGUGCGGGAUGACGGCCUUCGGGUUGUAAAACGCUUUCGCUCAUGACGAAGCUUUGUGUGACGGUAGUGGGUAAAGAAGCACCGGCUAACUACGUG